ACACGUGCCCAUACCACGUUGAAAGCACGCCAUCGCGUCCGACCUGGCAGAUUAAGUAACGUUGUGCAUGGUUAGUACUUGGAUCGGAAAUGAAACCAGUAUUAAAAAUA
rnacentral:rRNA from 1 species